UACGUAGGCAGCAAGCGUUGUUCGGAAUUACUGGGCGUAAAGAGUGUGUAGGCGGUUGUUCUAAGUCUGUUGUGAAAUCUCCCGGCUUAACUGGGAGGGUGCGGCGGAAACUGGAAUGCUAGAGGAUGGGAGAGGUAAGCGGAAUUCCUGGUGUAGCGGUGAAAUGCGUAGAUAUACAGGAGGAACACCGGGCGGUGAGACGGCUCCGUCUGGACCGUAACUGACGCUGAGACGACGAAAGCGU
rnacentral:rRNA from 1 species